UACGGGGGGGGCAAGCGUUGUUCGGAAUUACUGGGCGUAAAGGGUUCGUAGGUGGCUUGCUAAGUCAGACGUGAAAUCCCUCGGCUCAACCGGGGAACUGCGUCUGAGACUGGCGAGCUUGAGUGCAGGAGAGGAACGCAGAAUUCCAGGUGUAGCGGUGAAAUGCGUAGAUAUCUGGAGGAAUACCGAUGGCGAAGGCAGCCCCCUGGGAUAACACUGACGCUCAUGCACGAAAGCGUGGGGAGCAAACAGG
rnacentral:rRNA from 1 species